ACUCCUACGGGAGGCAGCAGUGGGGAAUAUUGCACAAUGGGCGCAAGCCUGAUGCAGCCAUGCCGCGUGUGUGAAGAAGGCCUUCGGGUUGUAAAGCACUUUCAGUUGUGAGGAAGGUGGUGUCGUUAAUAGCGGCAUCAUUUGACGUUAGCAACAGAAGAAGCACCGGCUAACUCCGUGCCAGCAGCCGCGGUAAUACGGAGGGUGCGAGCGUUAAUCGGAAUUACUGGGCGUAAAGCGCAUGCAGGUGGUUUGUUAAGUCAGAUGUGAAAGCCCGGGGCGUCAACCUCGGAACUGCAUUUGAAACUGGCAGACUAGAGUACUGUAGAGGGGGGUAGAAUUUCAGGUGUAGCGGUGAAAUGCGUAGAGAUCUGAAGGAAUACCGGUGGCGAAGGCGGCCCCCUGGACAGAUACUGACACUCAGAUGCGAAAGCGUGGGGAGCAAACAGGAUUAGAUACCCUGGUAGCACAGAG
rnacentral:rRNA from 1 species